rnacentral:rRNA from 1 species
UAAUGCGGAAGCCUAAACAUGCAAGUCGAGCGGUAGCACAGGAAAGCUUGCUCUCUGGGUGACGAGCGGCGGACGGGUGAGUAAUGUCUGGGAAACUGCCUGAUGGAGGGGGAUAACUACUGGAAACGGUAGCUAAUACCGCAUAACGUCGCAAGACCAAAGAGGGGGACCUUCGGGCCUCUUGCCAUCAGAUGUGCCCAGAUGGGAUUAGCUAGUAGGUGGGGUAACGGCUCACCUAGGCGACGAUCCCUAGCUGGUCUGAGAGGAUGACCAGCCACACUGGAACUGAGACACGGUCCAGACUCCUACGGGAGGCAGCAGUGGGGAAUAUUGCACAAUGGGCGCAAGCCUGAUGCAGCCAUGCCGCGUGUAUGAAGAAGGCCUUCGGGUUGUAAAGUACUUUCAGCGGGGAGGAAGGCGGUGAGGUUAAUAACCUCAUCGAUUGACGUUACCCGCAGAAGAAGCACCGGCUAACUCCGUGCCAGCAGCCGCGGUAAUACGGAGGGUGCAAGCGUUAAUCGGAAUUACUGGGCGUAAAGCGCACGCAGGCGGUCUGUCAAGUCGGAUGUGAAAUCCCCGGGCUCAACCUGGGAACUGCAUUCGAAACUGGCAGGCUAGAGUCUUGUAGAGGGGGGUAGAAUUCCAGGUGUAGCGGUGAAAUGCGUAGAGAUCUGGAGGAAUACCGGUGGCGAAGGCGGCCCCCUGGACAAAGACUGACGCUCAGGUGCGAAAGCGUGGGGAGCAAACAGGAUUAGAUACCCUGGUAGUCCACGCCGUAAACGAUGUCGACUUGGAGGUUGUGCCCUUGAGGCGUGGCUUCCGGAGCUAACGCGUUAAGUCGACCGCCUGGGGAGUACGGCCGCAAGGUUAAAACUCAAAUGAAUUGACGGGGGCCCGCACAAGCGGUGGAGCAUGUGGUUUAAUUCGAUGCAACGCGAAGAACCUUACCUACUCUUGACAUCCAGAGAACUUUCCAGAGAUGGAUUGGUGCCUUCGGGAACUCUGAGACAGGUGCUGCAUGGCUGUCGUCAGCUCGUGUUGUGAAAUGUUGGGUUAAGUCCCGCAACGAGCGCAACCCUUAUCCUUUGUUGCCAGCGGUCAGGCCGGGAACUCAAAGGAGACUGCCAGUGAUAAACUGGAGGAAGGUGGGGAUGACGUCAAGUCAUCAUGGCCCUUACGAGUAGGGCUACACACGUGCUACAAUGGCGCAUACAAAGAGAAGCGACCUCGCGAGAGCAAGCGGACCUCAUAAAGUGCGUCGUAGUCCGGAUUGGAGUCUGCAACUCGACUCCAUGAAGUCGGAAUCGCUAGUAAUCGUAGAUCAGAAUGCUACGGUGAAUACGUUCCCGGGCCUUGUACACACCGCCCGUCACACCAUGGGAGUGGGUUGCAAAAGAAGUAGGUAGCUUAACCUUCGGAGGGCGCUACCACUUAUCUUCCAGAAAAAAAAAUAACUGAU